UACGUAGGGUGCGAGCGUUGUCCGGAAUUAUUGGGCGUAAAGAGCUCGUAGGCGGUCUGUCGCGUCGAUCGUGAAAACUUGGGGCUUAACCCUGAGCUUGCGGUCGAUACGGGCAUGACUGGAGUUCGGCAGGGGAGACUGGAAUCCCUGGUGUAGCGGUGAAAUGCGCAGAUAUCAGGAGGAACACCGGUGGCGAAGGCGGGUCUCUGGGCCAUUACUGACGCUGAGGAGCGAAAGCGUGGGGAGCGAACAGG
rnacentral:rRNA from 1 species